GCCAGGCGUGGUGGCACAUGCCUGUAAUCUCAGCUACUUAGGAGGCUGAGGCAGGAGAAUUACUCGAACCCAGGAGGCAGAGGUUGCAGUGAGCCGAGAUUGUACCACUGCACUCCAGCCUGGGUGACAGAGCAAGACUCUGUCUCUU
rnacentral:sRNA from 1 species